CCGCUGCCAUCUCCGCUGCCUGUGGGAGGCAGCAUGGUCUGGGCCCAGAGGUUGUGGGGUGCGCAUGGGGGCGCCCCGUGCACUCCUGGUCCCUGUUUUGGUCCCUGGAAUGGGUGGGUGGGUGGUUGGUCUCCGAGCCAAGUUUGCAGCACUGGAUGCCUGGGAAAUUGCGAGGGCUCACCAGUGCCUGUAUUUUGCUGUUUCUCCUCCUUUUUAACCGGAUCCCUGUCUCUUCCCUCCCCUUUCCCCCACUCCUCACUCCUCAGAAGGCCAGAAAGUCCAGGGAACCUGCUGCAGAGAAAGGCUUCUGGGGUUAGAGCAUCUGCACCUUCAGAAGCUGAGCUGAAGCCUUGAUAGGCAGCAUCUGCGAUGCGAGGGAAGGCACCUCCACCAGUUAUGGACACGGGCAUGGACACUCUUGGCCCACUGAAGGAAAUGAGCACCCUGCCAAACAGCAGCUUGUCCUUUCCUUGCC